rnacentral:rRNA from 1 species
CCUACGGGGGGCAGCAGUGGGGAAUAUUGGACAAUGGGCGAAAGCCUGAUCCAGCCAUGCCGCGUGUGUGAAGAAGGCCUUCGGGUUGUAAAGCACUUUCAGUGGGGAAGAAAGCCUUGGGGCUAAUACCCUCGAGGAAGGACAUCACCCACAGAAGAAGCACCGGCUAACUCCGUGCCAGCAGCCGCGGUAAUACGGAGGGUGCGAGCGUUAAUCGGAAUUACUGGGCGUAAAGCGCGCGUAGGCGGUCUGAUAAGCCGGUUGUGAAAGCCCCGGGCUCAACCUGGGAACGGCAUCCGGAACUGUCAGGCUAGAGUGCAGGAGAGGACGGUAGAAUUCCCGGUGUAGCGGUGAAAUGCGUAGAGAUCGGGAGGAAUACCAGUGGCGAAGGCGGCCUUCUGGACUGACACUGACGCUGAGGUGCGAAAGCGUGGGUAGCAAACAGGAUUAGAUACCUGUAGUC